AUGCCGGAGUGCUUGCACUUUGGCAGACUGAGUGGCGGACGGGUGAGUAACGCGUGGGUAACCUGCCUUAUACAGGGGGAUAACAGUUGGAAACGACUGCUAAUACCGCAUAAGCGCACGGUAUCGCAUGAUACAGUGUGAAAAACUCCGGUGGUAUAAGAUGGACCCGCGUCUGAUUAGUUAGUUGGUGGGGUAACGGCCCACCAAGGCGACGAUCGGUAGCCGACCUGAGAGGGUGAUCGGCCACAUUGGAACUGAGAGACGGUCCAGACUCC
rnacentral:rRNA from 2 species